CCUACGGGAGGCAGCAGUGAUGAAUAUUGGUCAAUGGGCGAGAGCCUGAACCAGCCAAGUCGCGUGAAGGAUGAAGGAUCUAUGGUUUGUAAACUUCUUUUAUAUGGGAAUAAAGUGAGGAACGUGUUCCUUUUUGUAUGUACCAUAUGAAUAAGCAUCGGCUAACUCCGUGCCAGCAGCCGGGGUAAUACGGAGGAUGCGAGCGUUAUCCGGAUUGAUUGGGUUUAAAGGGUGCGUAGGUGGUUAAUUAAGUCAGCGGUGAAAUUUUGUGGCUCAACCAUAAAAUUGCCGUUGAAACUGGUUGACUUGAGUAUAUUUGAGGUAGGCGGAAUGCGUGGUGUAGCGGUGAAAUGCAUAGAUAUCACGCAGAACUCCGAUUGCGAAGGCAGCUUACUAAACUAUAACUGACACUGAAGUACGAAGGCCAGGGGAGCGAAAGGGAUUAGAUACCCGGGUAGUC
rnacentral:rRNA from 1 species